rnacentral:rRNA from 1 species
GACGAACGCUGGCGGCGUGCUUAACACAUGCAAGUCGAACGGACCUGUUUUUGAAGCGCUUCGGCGUGGAUGGGACGGGGCAGUGGCGCACGGGUGAGUAAUGCGCGAGGACCUGCCCGCGGGAGGGGGACAGCAGUUGGAAACGGCUGGUGAUACCCCGUAGGCCGGGAGGUAAAAGGGCGGAGACGCCCGCCUGCGGAUGGACUCGCGUCCUAUCAGCUAGUUGGUGAGGCAACGGCUCACCAAGGCGACGACGGGUAGCCGGCCUGAGAGGGUAACCGGCCACACUGGAACUGAGACACGGUCCAGACUCCUACGGGAGGCAGCAGUGGGGAAUUUUGGGCAAUGGGGGAGACCCUGACCCAGCGACGCCGCGUGAGGGACGAAGGCCCUUGGGUCGUAAACCUCUUUUGCAGGGGAAGAAGUAGAUGACGGUACCUUGCGAAUAAGUCCCGGCUAACUACGUG